rnacentral:lncRNA from 1 species
UUGCCAAUUGGUUUUGGGGUGGAACCUCAAUUGGUGUUAGGCUUGAAUGAUUGACUCCAAUAUGUACUUGGCUCCAUGUGUAGCCCACUAUGUGAUGGUCCCAAGUGAUGAGGUGUGUUGAAGAAUAUGACUCCCACAUUGGAAACUUGACUAAAUAAAAUACAAAAUAUAAUGAAUGAUUCUACUUGGAGAGUGUUUUCCCCAAAUCUCACCCAAGAAAUAGGCCAAGUGAUGUGUUG